rnacentral:rRNA from 1 species
CCCUACGGGACGCAGCAGUGGGGAAUAUUGCACAAUGGGGGAAACCCUGAUGCAGCGAUGCCGCGUGGAGGAAGAAGGUUUUCGGAUUGUAAACUCCUUUUAUCAGGGACGAUAAUGACGGUACCUGAAGAAAAAGCUCCGGCUAACUACGUGCCAGCAGCCGCGGUAAUACGUAGGGAGCGAGCGUUGUCCGGAAUUACUGGGUGUAAAGGGAGCGUAGGCGGGACGGCAAGUCAGAUGUGAAAACUACGGGCUUAACUUGUAGACUGCAGUUGAAACUGGUUUUCUUGAGUGAAGUAGAGGUU